rnacentral:tRNA from 1 species
GCCCAGAUGGCGGAAUUGGUAGACGCGCUAGGUUCAGGUCCUAGUUCAGGCAACUGUGUGUGGGUUCAAAUCCCGUUCUGGGCA